rnacentral:lncRNA from 1 species
AACCAUCUGGCCACAUCACACAAGCACCAUGGACUCUGAGCUGAGGAGGGGAAAAUGGAAACACACAUUCCUGCAGUCAGAGUCGGCUACAUAAUUUGUAGGGCGUGAUGCAAGGAGAAAAUGUAGAGGAAGAAGACCCCACUGGAUACAUUUGAUUGAAAAAUUUCUCCCAGUGAUGACCGAAGUACUGCUGGAAAGAAGUCUUAGAUCCAGCUAAACAUGGUCCUUUCUAAGGAAGAACUGAUCAAGAUAUGACUGAAGAAGGUGAGCCUUUUUCUCAGGCGGAAAUGGAAGAAAUGUUGUCUGCUGCAGUUGAUCCAGAAUCGAAUUCAGUUGAUUACAAGGACUACGUAACAAUGAUGGUGGCAGAUGAGACUUAAACACUUUAAAGACUUAAUUUCCAAUUGAAAGGAUAAUUUAAAAAAUUGUCCUUGUUAAUUUCACAUUUUAUCUUAUCAUUUCUACAUAUGAUAACUAAUGCUUUGUGACAGCUAUUUCAAUAUAUUUUGUUUUUUAAAGAUGAUCAUAAUAAUUUAAAACUCUUUAAAUAUUUAAACUAUUUAACAUUUUAACUAUUUAACAUAUAAAGAUUUAAAACUAUUUGAGCUGUUUAAAACAUCAAAUUAAAAUUUAUUUGUCUAGCCUCAUGGAAC